AUGCACGCUGGCGGCGUGCCUAAUACAUGCCAGUCGAGCGAACAGACGAGGAGCUUGCUCCUCUGACGUUAGCGGCGGACGGGUGAGUAACACGUGGAUAACCUACCUAUAAGACUGGGAUAACUUCGGGAAACCGGAGCUAAUACCGGAUAAUAUAUUGAACCGCAUGGUUCAAUAGUGAAAGACGGUUUUGCUGUCGCUUAUAGAUGGAUCCGCGCCGCAUUAGCUAGUUGGUAAGGUAACGGCUUACCAAGGCAACGAUGCGUAGCCGACCUGAGAGGGUGAUCGGCCACACUGGAACUGAGACACGGUCCAGACACCUACGGGAGGCAGCAGUAGGGAAUCUUCCGCAAUGGGCGAAAGCCUGACGGAGCAACGCCGCGUGAGUGAUGAAGGUCUUCGGAUCGUAAAACUCUGUUAUUAGGGAAGAACAAAUGUGUAAGUAACUAUGCACGUCUUGACGGUACCUAAUCAGAAAGCCACGGCUAACUACGUG
rnacentral:rRNA from 1 species